rnacentral:rRNA from 1 species
UACGAAGGGGGCUAGCGUUGCUCGGAAUCACUGGGCGUAAAGCGCACGUAGGCGGCUUUCUAAGUCAGAGGUGAAAGCCCGGGGCUCAACCCCGGAAUUGCCUUUGAGACUGCAUCGCUAGAAUUGUGGAGAGGUAAGUGGAAUUCCGAGUGUAGAGGUGAAAUUCGUAGAUAUUCGGAAGAACACCAGUGGCGAAGGCGACUUACUGGACACAUAUUGACGCUGAGGUGCGAAAGCGUGGGGAGCAAACAGG